UGGACGUUGGGAACAUCAGGGUGAUUCCCAAUCGUUUGCCACACGAUUGAUCACUGAGGCGAAGGUGGCGGUGGUUCCAGGCAGCGCGUUUUA
rnacentral:tRNA from 1 species